AUCUUUUCUUCAAUCAAUCUUACAGAUGAGCUAUGCUUGCCAAGACAUCUAAUGAGUUGGUGUGCAUGCUGGGGUAAAGAGGGGUGAUAAGGGAAUUUUGGAAAGAAGGAAAGUACCCACUUCAGCAGGGCAGGAAAUGCAUAAAGCACAACCAGAUCACAGAACCCAACUGGAGAACCAAGAAACAAACACAAUGAACACUGGACAUAUAUCCCCGCCAUAUGAAAAGAGCGCGGCUCCUCCUCACCAUGGGACCAUUAGACACCCAACAUUAUUUACAAGUCUAUGAGGAACAAGGUGCCCUUAGGUUUAUAUGAUAGAAGAAAAAUACAGGUAAUAAGGUGCAUUUUUCCUAAGUUAUACCUGUCCUGUUAUUAAUGCUGUAUUAUUUAUUUAUAUUUUAUUAUUCUCACUUUCCCAAUUUUUAUAUAAUGAACUUUUAGUAUCAGAAAAAAAUGUUACA
rnacentral:lncRNA from 12 species